UACACGAGCGGCGAACGGGUGAGUAACACGUGGGUGAUCUGCCCUGCACUCUGGGAUAAGCUUGGGAAACUGGGUCUAAUACCGGAUAUGACUACAGCAUGCAUGUGUUGUGGUGGAAAGAUUUAUCGGUGCAGGAUGGGCCCGCGGCCUAUCAGCUUGUUGGUGGGGUAAUGGCCUACCAAGGCGACGACGGGUAGCCGACCUGAGAGGGUGACCGGCCACACUGGGACUGAGACACGGCCCAGACUCCUACGGGAGGCAGCAGUGGGGAAUAUUGCACAAUGGGCGGAAGCCUGAUGCAGCGACGCCGCGUGAGGGAUGAAGGCCUUCGGGUUGUAAACCUCUUUCAGCAGGGACGAAGCGUGAGUGACGGUACCUGCAGAAGAAGCACCGGCUAACUACGUGCCAGCAGCCGCGGUAAUACGUAGGGUGCGAGCGUUGUCCGGAAUUACUGGGCGUAAAGAGUUCGUAGGCGGUUUGUCGCGUCGUUUGUGAAAACCCGGGGCUCAACUUCGGGCUUGCAGGCGAUACGGGCAGACUUGAGUGUUUCAGGGGAGACUGGAAUUCCUGGUGUAGCGGUGAAAUGCGCAGAUAUCAGGAGGAACACCGGUGGCGAAGGCGGGUCUCUGGGAAACAACUGACGCUGAGGAACGAAAGCGUGGGUAGCAAACAGGAUUAGAUACCCUGGUAGUCCACGCCGUAACC
rnacentral:rRNA from 1 species